rnacentral:rRNA from 1 species
GGUUAAGCGACUAAGCGUACACGGUGGAUGCCCUGGCAGUCAGAGGCGAUGAAGGGCGUGCUAAUCUGCGAUAAGCGCCGGUAAGGUGAUAUGAACCGUUAUAACCGGCGAUACCCGAAUGGGGAAACCCAGUGUGACUCGUCACACUAUCAUUAACUGAAUCCAUAGGUUAAUGAGGCGAACCGGGGGAACUGAAAC